UACGGAGGGUGCAAACGUUGCUCGGAAUCAUUGGGCGUAAAGCGCACGUAGGCGGCCUGAUAAGUCGGGUGUGAAAGCCCUGGGCUCAACCCAGGAAGUGCACUCGAAACUGUCAGGCUUGAAUAUGGAAGAGGGUCGCGGAAUUCCCGGUGUAGAGGUGAAAUUCGUAGAUAUUGGGAAGAACACCGGUGGCGAAGGCGGCGACCUGGUCCGACACUGACGCUGAGGCGCGAAAGCGUGGGGAGCAAACAGG
rnacentral:rRNA from 1 species